rnacentral:rRNA from 1 species
AGGCGGUCUUUCAAGUCAGGAGUGAAAGGCUACGGCUCAACCGUAGUAAGCUCUUGAAACUGGGAGACUUGAGUGCAGGAGAGGAGAGUGGAAUUCCUAGGGUAGCGGUGAAAUGCGUAGAUAUUAGGAGGAACACCAGUUGCGAAGGCGGCUCUCUGGACUGUAACUGACGCUGAGGCACGAAAGCGUGGGGAGCAAACAGGAUUAGAUACCCUGGUAGUCCACGCUGUAAACGAUGAGUACUAGG